UAGGUUCGGGGUAAAGUACUGAUCAUGUCCACGCUGGGAGCACUCUCCCAGAAGUGCUGAACUCAUUAUCUAAAGCUUAUCGAUAUAUUCAAACCCAACAGGUGCCAAUGGUAGAAAACCAUUUUGCUUUGGGAUUUGCAGAUUAAUUAGAUUAGGCAUUUUGGUUACAACAGCUGUAACAGCUGGAGACACUUCAUUUAAUUUUUGAUAGUCAGUACUGAGAUGCCAUGAUCCCUCUGGUUUUUGUCAAACUGGAGAAUUGCAGGUAGAAGUACAUGCACGAAUGAUUUCCUCUUGCAGCAGAGAUUCAAUGGUUUCCGCAGUACAGGUCUGUCACAUCUUAUGCGCAUUUAACAUGCGCAAUUUCAGCUUUACGCGGAUGGGAGCCUGGCCCGGAGGCCCCUGGCUCUGCCCUGGUCGGCGCCGGUCUCUGGCACGGACGGGAGCCUGGCCCGGAGGCCCCUGGCUCUGCCCCGGCCGGCACCGGUCACUGGUGCAGACGGGAGCCCAGCCCGGAGGCCCCUGGCUCUGACCCGGCCCGUUCCAUGUCCCUGUUUCAGAGGCGCAGUCUGACUCCGCCAGGAGCAAGAUGCUGACGGGGGUCGGGGGCUUCGUGCUGGGGCUGAUCUUCCUGGCGCCCGGACUCCUCAUCUACCUGAAGAAUAAGAAAGGGCGCCCCGUUCCCCAACCUGCAGGUAAUUUCAAUCCCCCUCCCCUGUUAAACCCGCCUCCCUCCACACUGAGCACAAGCUGCCUGGGGCACCCGUGGGGUGGCUGGUUCUGCUCCUCGGCCCAUGACACCCGCCCGGCUCAGCCCCUGGGCAACUGGGCACUGGGGCAUUGGCCCCGCGGAGGAGGAGACUGCAGUCCCCUCGGUCCCCGUUCAGGCCGAUCCCUGAGCUGCUCCUGGGGGCAGAGGGCCCUGGGUCCUGCCGAGCAUCGCCCAGCCCUGCGGCUGCCGGGCAGAGUCACUGGGGCACCCUGGGGCCUGGCAGAGAAAAUUCCCCAUCCGUCCUGCUAGUCCCACGGCCAGGGGCUGAUUUCUCUCCCCUCUCCCUGCAGGGCUCCUGAGUUAGAUCCUGAGCGUCAGAUCCCCUGGCCGGCAGGAGUUUCCGUCCAUCUCUCCCAGCACCUCGCCCAGCCUGGAGAAUGCAGGACCUGGGGCCGGUCCCUUCCUGUCCCCGCCUGCUCCCCGCGCUCUGCCUGGCUCCAGCCCGCGCUGCCCCCCCGGGGACCCGUCCCUGCCCCUCAGUCCCUGCAGGGUCUGCCUCGGUGUGACCCCUCCUGUGUUAACCCUUUUCCUGCCCCAGCCCAGCCCCACUUUCCCUCUCGCUGACCCCACUGCCCUCGGGGAACCUUUGGGGGAUGCUGCUCCGCACCCGGGGGGGAAGCUGGACUGAGGCUGGGCGCUUUUAGAACUGCUGCACCCUAAUAAACCAUUCCCAGCCCCCCCUCUCCUCCCCCCG
rnacentral:lncRNA from 1 species